GUGUGGCCCGAGGAAGUGGGCGCCGCGGGCGAGACGGCGCUGCUGGGCAUGGACUUCCCACAUGAAGGUGCCACCAGCUGCACCCUGGGCAUGGUGCUGCCCAUCUGGAGUGACACCCAGGUCUUUCUCGAUGGUGACGGGGGCUUCAGUGUGACAUCAGGGGGACAGACCCGCAUCUUCAAGCCCAUCUCCGUCCAGACCAUGUGGUG